rnacentral:rRNA from 1 species
GACGAACGCUGGCGGCAGGCCUAACACAUGCAAGUCGAGCGGACCUUUCGGGGUCAGCGGCGGACGGGUGAGUAACGCGUGGGAAUAUGCCCUUCUCUACGGAAUAGUCCUGGGAAACUGGGGGUAAUACCGUAUACGCCCUUUGGGGGAAAGAUUUAUCGGGGAAGGAUUAGCCCGCGUUGGAUUAGGUAGUUGGUGGGGUAAUGGCCUACCAAGCCGACGAUCCAUAGCUGGUUUGAGAGGAUGAUCAGCCACACUGGGACUGAGACACGGCCCAGACUCCUACGGGAGGCAGCAGUGGGGAAUCUUAGACAAUGGGGGCAACCCUGAUCUAGCCAUGCCGCGUGAGUGAUGAAGGCCUUAGGGUUGUAAAGCUCUUUCAGCUGGGAAGAUAAUGACGGUACCAUCAGAAGAAGCCCCGGCUAACUCCGUG